AUACGUAGGGGGCAAGCGUUAUCCGGAUUUACUGGGCGUAAAGGGAGCGUAGACGGUGUGACAAGUCUGAUGUGAAAACCCGGGGCUCAACUCCGGGAUUGCAUUGGAAACUGCCAUACUUGAGUGCAGGAGAGGUAAGCGGAAUUCCUAGUGUAGCGGUGAAAUGCGUAGAUAUUAGGAGGAACACCGGCGGCGAAGGCGGCUUACUGGACUGUAACUGACGUUGAGGCUCGAAAGCGUGGGGAGCAAACAGGAUUAGAUACCCUGGUAGUCCACGCGGUAAACGAUGAAUACUAGGUGUUGGGGGUCUAUAGACCCUCGGUGCCGCAGCAAACGCAAUAAGUAUUCCACCUGGGGAGUACGUUCGCAAGAAUGAAACUCAAAGGAAUUGACGGGG
rnacentral:rRNA from 1 species